rnacentral:lncRNA from 1 species
CUACCUGCUGUGUUGCAAACGCUGAGUCAGAGAGCAGACAUUAGAUUAAUCCUCAACACGAUUUUGUGUGUGUGCUUCAGUGGGGCUGGUGUUGCCUGAAACCUCACAUGUGCCUGAGGGGCUUCAGAGCCCUUGACUACCUUUCUGAUCACCUCUGCUCCCAAAGAGAGCUCAAGGACAUGGGGCCUCUGCUUGAAAGAUAGAUUAGUAGUAACUGGAGAGUCAGAAAUAUAGAGUUCAGGGGCCACCUUUAAUUAUUUUUCUAGAGGUCAUAUACUGAGAGCAAAACUUCUGAUUUAACACAUGUAGACAGGGUCCAAGAAUGGGCUUGUCAUGAACUCCUGGGUGAUGCUCAGGUUCUAAAGACAGAGAAUGAGAACUUUAUCUGUCAAAGUCAUUCCUUCUUAACCGUAGGAAGAAGCUUAACCAUAGUAAGUACAUUCAAAAGGUUUCUCUCCAGUACAUAUUCUUUCAUGAUGAUGAAGCCUACAGAAUUGUGCAAAGGCUUCACCAUAUUAAAUACAUUCCCAAGGUUUCUGUCUUAGUGUUUCCAUUGCUAGGAAUAGACAUCAUGACCAAGGCAACUCUCAUAAAAGCAAACCUUUAAUUGGGGCUGGCUUACAGUUUCAGAGGUUUAGUCCAUUUUCAUCAUAGCAGGAAGCACAGCAGCAGCAUGCAGGCAGACAUGAUGCUGGAGAAGGAGCUGAGAGUUCUGCAUUUUGAUCCAAAGGCAGCCAGGAAGAAACUGUCUUCCAGGGAGGGAAUAGGAGGGUCUGUUUUGCACUUGGUGGAGCUUCAGAGUCCACCCCCAGAGAUAUCCACUUCCUCCAACAAGGUCACACCUCUGAAUAGAGUCACUCCCUGUCACAAGCAUAUUCAAACUCCCACAUUCCACUCACUGGCCCCCAUAAGCAUGUUGGAGUACAGGAAUGUAUGAGGACCAUACUUAAACAUGCAUAAUGAAAAAUACACGAGGUCCUACUGCAAAAGUCCCCAUCAUCUAUACCAGUCUCAAAAAUGUUAAAAGUCCAAAGGUCAAAGUCUCUUCUGAGAUUCAUUCAAUGUAACUGUAAUCCCCUAAAAAAGAAAAUCUAAAAGCAGAUCAUAUACUACCACUUCAAAACAUAGACUUUACCAUUCCUAAAUGUCAUCAUGAGGAAAUAGUGGACCAAAACAAAACCAAAAGCCAGCUUGGAAAUCUCCAAACUGCAUCUCCAUGAGUGAUGUUAAAGCAUUCUUCAGAUCUCCAACUCCUUUCUGCUGUAUUCACUGCAGCACAAUUCUUUCUCUUUGGCUGGUUUUCCUGAGCAGGUACCCCACAGCUCUGACAUCUCAAAGAUCUUGGGGUCUCGAAGGAAACCUCAGUUUCUUGUUCCAAUGUCUUGGAUCCACACAUGAUCUUCUGCAGUCCUCCAGAGAGAUAAGGUCACUUCUCUAGCUCUGACCUCUGUAUCACUCUAAGCUCUGGUUGACUCCGCUCUACUGGGCUGUUCUUUCUGCUCAUCCCAUUGGACUGGCAUCUUCAAUAUGUUGGGUUCUUCUCCUGCAACUAGGCUUCACUGAUAGUCUCACUUAUGCUCCCUUCACUGGACCAAGCCUCAGUUGCUCCUCAUGACACUGUCAUGCCUUCAAAACCAGUACCACCUGGAUGAUUCUUACAUGUGACCAAGUUCUGUUGUGUCCGGCCAGCAGACCACAACCUGGGUUCUAGCCUGGAAAGGCAUUUUGGAAACCUAGAAGAGAAGAGGGGCUAGGUGGCGAGAGAGAAAGAAAUGUAGCCAAGACAGUUAUUCUGAUCAAAGCUCAAAUUUUAUUGUUGCAACACUAGUUAUGAAGGAAGGGGGAGGAGACCCGAUUCCCGCCGAAUAAUCUCUGGUCCAGUAGAAAGGUGAGCACACAUGUUGCUCUGCAGGUUCCAGCAGUGGGCGUGGCAGAACGAAUGAGCAGGAAGCUCCACCCCUGAGCAAGCAGGUUUCAGGCUGGGGGAGGGGAGACUACAAAGUUCAGCUGCAACACAAGGUACAAUCCUGGCUCUCUCUGGAACACAGUUUCUUUGUCCUCUCAGAAAACAGUUCCUAGAAGAUUUCACCUCAAUGAUGCUGGUCUCUUCUUCAUCACUUCUAAUUUCUCAGCCACAGCUUACAAGCUUCAAUUUUCCCAGUAGUCCCUUCUAUUCUUACCUCUAAAGUCAGAGCCACAUGGUCAAAGCUGCUGAGUUCUGCUGCUUUCUGGGCCUGGGAAAUGGCCUCUUCUAUUACAUUAUCACCAGUUUUCUGUUCUCCAACUCCUUUACUUCCUCAGCUUGGCUGUCCUUGAACUUGCUCUAUAUAUUGACCUUGAACUCAGAAAUCUGCAAGGCUCUGUAUCCACAGGCCUAGACCUAAGAAUUUCUUCACCUUUAACUUGCUCUGUAUCAGGAUGGACUUGAACUCAGAGAUCUGCUUGAUGCUCAUCUCCUAGGGUUCAAGGGCAUGUACCACCAUGCCUGGACCUAUGCUUUCCACUUUAGAUCUUAUAUUGAAAACCAAGAGCAGCAAUCACAAUCCAUCCCUUGUCAAUUUGAUACAUACUUGUAUCUCCUUAUGUCCAUAUGUAAACAAUAACCAGGUUUCUCUCCUCUGUGUUCUUUUAUGUCAUUGUAGAUGACUGUGAGUUGCAAAGGCUUUACCACAUUGAUUACAUUCAUAAGGUUUCUGUCCAGUAUAUGUUCUUUUAUGUCUUUGGAGAUUAGUCUUACAUCCAAAGUCUUUACAACAGUGAUUGCAUUCUAAGGUGUUUUUCUAAAAUGUGUUCUUUCAUGUACUUGGAGAUGACUGUGUCUUGCAAAUGCUUUACCACAUUGAUUGCAUUCAUAAGGUUUCUCUCCAGUAUGUGUUCUUUUAUGACACUGUAGAUUAUUUUGAUGUGUAAAUGCUUUACCACACUGAUCACACUGAUAAGGUUUCUCUCCAGUAUGCGUUCUUUUAUGACAUUGGAGACUAUUGUGAUGUACAAAGGCUUUACCACAUUGAUUACACUCAUGAGGUUUUUCUCCAGAAUGUGUUCUUUUAUGUAUAUUGAGACUAGACUGCCAUGCAAAGGCUUUACCACAUUGAUCACACUCAUAAGGUUUCUCUCCAGUAUGUGUUAUUUUAUGAUAUUCAAGACUACUGUGUUGUGAAAAUGCUUUAUCACAUUGAUUACAUUGAUAAGGUUUCUCUCCAGUAUGUGUUCUUUUAUGAUAUUGCAGACUACUGUGAUGUCCAUAGGCUUUACCACACUGAUUACAUUUAUAGGGUUUCUCUCCAUUAUGUCUUCUAAUAUGAUAUUGGAGAGUACUCCCUUGUGAAAAGGCUUUACCACAUUGAUUACAUUCAUAAGGUUUCUCUCCAGUAUUUGUUCUUUUAUGUAUUUGGAGAUGAUUGUCACUUGCAAAGGCUUUACCACAUUGGUUACGUUCAUACGGUUUCUCUCCAAUAUGAAUUCUUUCAUGC